UCCUUCCACUGGGCCUGGAAUAAAAGCAGAGAUUUAAAGAACUGGAGAUUAAUACCAUACACAGURUAAAAGGGGAAGGCUUUGACUGAGGGAUAUGGACAGUGUGUUAUUUGCAUAUCUGUAAAAAUCUUCUGAGCACUGGGAGUGUUUAUAAUGAGACCAAAGGGAGAAUGAAGAAUYCAGUACUUAAUACAGACACCUGCCACUUGCAAAAUAUCUCCACCACUAGAAACAAAUGCCUGUGAGAGUUUGGGAGAUUUUGGUCACUGAUUUGUUCCUCCUUUGUUUCCAUUUCARUCACUGGUCCAUCUGUCCAGUGAGAGCCCUGACAUUGAUAAAUGUCACGAAGUGAAGUUGCCGGAGUUGCUCCAUGUGCUGGUUCCAGAGCGGGGUUUACGGCGCACACCAGCCUGGGAAGGCAGCAGAGGGACACAGGAUGGGGAGGGAGAUGCAGAUUUUCUGAUGACCUUUCCAAACAAUAGUUGGGAACCUGGCUCUGAUUCCAACCUAAAUCCAUCAAUGGCAUCUCUUACUAAUCUUCCACCACUGCACCCCUUUGCCUUCAGAGUUCUUCACUCUUUAGACAGAGACACAGAGCUGCAGCAUACUCUMAGUUAUAGCACUACCAAGCAACCCAGGGAUUUCUGCCAACUUGGAAACAAGAUAUGAACUAAAGGGUUUCUAUUUUUGCAUUAAAAUGGAAACAGGUGGGAAGGAUGCGUGGAAUUUAUCAAACCAAAUAAAAUUUUUUUUCAUGUUAAAAUUCGUAUGGAAUGGAAAUUGCACUCUUCCAGUGUUACUGCAGAGCAGCAAUAUUGGGUUUCUCCUUACUCAGCCUUUAGCAGUAAGGAACCAGCUGCAGUGGAGCUGGAGUUCUGGAAUUUGCUUUCUAACCCCAUCUAAAUCUCUCCUAGGUCUGCCCUAUUUUGAAUUAUUGCUCCACCUGGCACAGGGGAUGUUAUUGACUCUGGAAAGAAGAGUCAAGUCUUGCAACAGUUUUUUUAUAGAUUGCUAACUGGAGAGUAAGAACAGGAACGAACUGCUGGAUGGCAGAAAUGAGUGRUUUUCCCUAUUCCURCCUAAUUUAUGGCAGUGAACCUCCRCUCCCACACUGAGUUAGGUGCUUUGGCUCAGCUCAGGUAUUUGCUGUGUGUUAGCACAGAACCAGUGGGUGGUGGAGAGACCAGAGCCACACCAAAGCUCUGCCUUUUGAAUCAAACCUCUCCCACCCCCUUCCUAUCUCCACAUCGGAACAAAACCUGAGGGAAGUGCCCCAGCUGAGGUGGAGCAUGUUCCUAAGAGGAUUUACUAAAGUAAAAACCACAUCCAAAAUAUAUUUUUUUAAUUAUGACACAGUAUAAAUGGGACAGACUUUACCAAAACACUGGGUUAUUCAUUGCCCAGAGGGUAGGAGAAGCUGCAGCACUGGUUGGACAAAUAAGUAACAAAAUGGAUGGACAGACAAUCUAACAGACUCCUGACUGCCUUCACUUACCCUUAAUUAAUUGUUUCCAGUAAAUAGCCCUGGCUCUGUCAUUAUUUUAGGAAAACAGAAAACAUUGAUAGAAGUACUACAAAUGUUGCCAUCAGCCCUGCCAUAGAUCUCAUUCAUCUGAAAUCCCACUGGAAUGAAACAGAUUGUCCAACUGCAUCAGUUCAGCUCAGSAAAGAGCCUGUAACCAUGGCCAUGAACUGUUCCAGUCAAAUGUCCUGCAUGGCCCAUUCCAUGGGACUCCCARCAUCUGCAGGGUUCCAUGCCACAGGCACCAGGGCAGCCUGCCAYCCUGGCAGUGAGCUGUGGGUCUAAAUGAACAUAAAAAGGGAUUCAAACACUUCUCCUGAUGUCAAAUUGAAUUUUAAUUUGACUUAAGGACAGCUUUCUGUUAUGUUAAGGUUUAGAGGAUUGACUAGUAAUGUUAUAUAUAUAAUUUAAUUUUUAAACCAUUUUAUGCUUCCCAGUGUUUCUUGGUUUGCAACAGAAUCUGAAAUGCAAAGAGCAAACUGCAGAAGUUGUGUGGCUGCAAGGUCUUUGAACUCCRUGACACCAGGAGGAGAUGAAAAGCUCCCAAGACAGGCUGUUCUCCUGAGGCUCUCAUCCCAAUUUCCAGGAACUGAGGCAGGUCAAAUGCAUUCAGGGGGAUGGACUGAGGGAGGAAAUAUUCAGGUACCAUUCAACUAUGYAACCAAACCAUUUGAGGUUUGCCUGUCACUUGUCUAGACACAUGUUUCAAAAGGSAAUCAAAUAAAAGGAAGAAAAAUACCCUGUCUGGGAAUUCUUACCCGGUGACUUGUGCAGCCCAAGAGCUGGGUAAUUCUCCUCAACUGAAUAAACAUCGAAGGGAGUCUGAGAGCAAUUUGGCUCCAGAGCAAAUAUUGUUCCUGAAUUCUUUGCACCUGCAAUGGGCAGGGAAAUUAUAAUAGACCCUCCCCACGUCUUCCCAUCCCAGACCUUGGAAAGCAGCCAGGAAGCAUCUUACAUCUGCCACAGCAGAAAUGUGAGGGCUGGGCUUCAGAUGAGACCCCUAGUAAAAUCACAGCCCCAUCCCAAACCCACCUGUCUCCAAGGAAAGGAAAUGUGGGAGU